GACGAACCGUGCGAACGUUGUUCGGAAUCACUGGGCAUAAAGGGCGCGUAGGCGGCUUAUCAAGUCAGGGGUGAAAUCCGGCAGCUCAACUGUCGAAGUGCCUUUGAUACUGAUGAGCUCGAGGGAGGUAGGGGUGUGCGGAACUUCCGGUGGAGCGGUGAAAUUCGUAGAUAUUCGCAAGAACACCAGUGGCGAAGGCGGCUCACUGGCCCGAUACUGACGCUGAGGCACGAAAGCGUGGGGAGCAAACAGG
rnacentral:rRNA from 1 species